AGCAUUUUUGUGGGUAUAUAUUGACCAUCACCACUUCACUCUGCAUCAGUCGCUAGCCACUGUCCAGAGCUUCACGCAAAGUGCUACACAAAAUGAUGUCUCGAACAAGCUUAAUACUUCUCCUUAUCUGUUUUGUGUGCGUCACUGAGAUAACGAAUGGGUACAUCAUUGAUGUACCACCUAGAUGUGCAGAGAAUGGAAAACCUUGUCAGAGCAAUUCAGCGUGCUGCAGUAAUAAAUGUUUGCCCGACCCGAUUCAUAGAUGCAGUUCUUAAAUAGUUUUGUUUGAAAUAAACAAUAAUAUUUCAUUAUUUUACGAAUUGAUUGCAAGGGUUAAGAUUGGAUAAAUAAGGAUUGGCGAACUAUUUUUAACCGACUUCAAAAAAAGGAGGAGGUUACUCAAAUCGACCGUAUAUAUAUAUUUUUUAUGUAUGUUCUACCAAUUAUAAAUCUGUAAUAAUACAAAAAUAAAUUAGAUCAUAUUAUAUAAUAUACAGUUUAACUCUAUAUAUAGUUUUAUUGAAAUUAAAGUUAAAAGCUUCCAAAGUCACAGUGGAGUUAAAAAAAGGAAAAUAUGUAAUCGCAAAGAUGAUCAAAGGCUACGUGACUCGUUUUCAACUUCCUAUGUACGUUUCAAAAACAUCAAGUGCCUUUUUAACUUUAUGGAAAUGAAAUGAAAACAUUUAUUCUGCAAUAAGUUACAAACUUAACGAAUAUCACAAAAUGUCUCUCGGAUCUUACACCUUCAUCGGAGGUCAUCUUAGAUAUAGCUGACAUUGAAGUACUUGAUAAUGUAGUACUUGAACUCCUUCAGCGUUUAGUCUCGAGUAAAUUAGCAGGAUCCGAUCAUAUUGCUCCAUUAUUUAUAGUUUCUUGUGCAAAAAGAUUGAAGACCCCGUUAGCAUUAUUGUUCAGACUGUCAUUGGAGACCGGUAUAGUGCCUGAUAUUUGGAAAUCUGCAUUCGUAACGCUAAUACAUAAGAAAGGUCCAAAAGAUAUAGUGAAAAACUACAGACCGAUUUCCAAAUUGUGUUUUUUUGCUUAGGUUUUCGAAAGAGUCAUGCACAAACAAGUAUAUGCUCAUAUCAAGAGUAUUAUAUUCUAAAUGAACAAAAACAUGGUUUCGUUAAGAAUAAAUCAACUACUUCUAAUCUUCUUCUAUGUAGUGAUUUUUUAACAGGACAUAUGUCUAAAGGUUACAAAGUAGAU
rnacentral:misc_RNA from 1 species